GCCUUCUUAGCUCAGCUGGUAGAGCAACUGACGUAAUCAGUAGGUCAUUGGUUCGAUCCCGAUAGAAGGCU
rnacentral:tRNA from 1 species